rnacentral:tRNA from 1 species
UGGCUCAGUGGUAGAGUGCUUGCCUUGCAUGCAUGAGGUCCUGGGUUCAAUUCCGCAG